rnacentral:lncRNA from 1 species
UUCUUUAAGUUUUUUGAGUAAUUUUAAACAUAUAUCAUAAUCUACCACGAUAAAUAUAGAUGCAGCACUCUCAUUCGAUUGGUAUGUUUUUCUGUUUUAUAUUUAUCUAUUGAUCAUGUGUUUAUCUUCUCUUUCAUGACAUCCACAUAUUUGAAAAUUGGGAAAUUCUAUGCAUCGGAGCUAUUUUUCAUGACAAACAAAUAUUCUAUACUUACCAACAAGAUUCUCUUCAAAAACUGAAACAUAUGGUGGUUGAGAUCGAUGGUUAUGUGGCUACUUCGCACGUCUACAAGGUAUCGUACGGACGAGCCGCUCUGUUGUUUCCCUCGGCUUGGUUAAACCUGAACUAUUCAUAUGAAAACCUUAACUUAUCGGUCGAUUGAUGGGUUUUUUUUUUGGUAAAAACAAGAGAUGAGGAUUUCUCAGAAGAUUAUGAAUCUCGACGAUGAAGAGGUAGAUUAAUUGUGUGAAUAAUCUUAUGUUUUUUGUUUUUAUAGAUCGUGUAUUUAGCUCUUGCGUUUAUUUAUUUAGAAUACCAAUGAUGUCGGUAAAAAAGAGGUAAAGAUGUCUCAUGGUCAAAAAUUUAUCACCAAUCAUUUCAAUUCCUAAGUCCAAAUAGAAAAACAACAAAAUUGAUUAAUCUCCUAUUUUUACUUUGUUUGUAUAGAUGAAGUUGUAUAGCGAGAAAGAUUCAUAAAAGAAGCUAAUGUGGAUUCCAAGUUUAUUUGGAUCCUGUUCACUGGCCAAACCCGUAUCUAAACUAAUGCUAACACACUAGCUUUGUUUAUGGCGUUGUUUUUAGUUUCUUGCUGUAAUACCUUUUUUAAUUUACUACCGAUGACUCUCU